AUUUUUUUAACUCUCUUCCUAUUCUCUAUUUCGGUCUGACCAAAUCUUUGUUACAAUAGGGAUCAAAUAGGAAUCACGUGGGUUUUAUUUAUUCUAGAGUUGUGUAAUCUCUGAAAUUGUGAUGAUGAACUUAGCUCUUUUUUGUAAGUUCCUUUAUCAAUUAGUUUGGGAUUGUGUAAUUUUUUUUUAUUUUUUUGAAUUCUGGUAGUAACCUGAAGAAAUUCUGUAAGUUUUAUAGGUUUGUGUAAUUUCUUUUGAAAUUGUGGUAAUAACUUGAAGGAUUUAUGUGAGUUUUAUCUUGUUAAGAUUGUGUAACUUCCUUUGGAGUUGUAAGUUUGAUGUUCUGCUUGUUAUUUGCAGUCUGGUUUUGAAAAUCUAGGUUGAUUCUUUAACUAAUUCCUGCCUUGCUCCUGUUGACCCCUUUUUCUCCCCCUGUCUCUCUACAACCGUCAUAUACCCUGUUGUGUUCAUAUGGCGUUCUGUGGCUAAAUGAUUCUGAGGAUAUGACCCUGUUGUGUUCUUAUGGCGUUCCGUGGUUCAAUGUUUUUGAUGACUUGUACUGGACUCGUUUAUGUUGUUUAAGCACUGUCAAUGUUCACCUUGAUUUGGAUAUAUUUAAACGGAUGUAAGACUCUUUUAUGUAUCUCUUAACUCUCACAUGUCUUCUCUUUUAAGGGCUUUUAUUGUUUAUUGUUUAGUAAUCGCCACCACCAGUUCCAUUCAUAUCACCUGCAUCUCCACCUUAUCCUACACCAGUUCCUCUGCAUACAUCCACCGUCAUCAGUUUGUGUUACCACCUGCAUCACCAUAUCAGCUCCAGAUCCAGUGCAUACCACCUUCACAUCCAUCUCCAUCCAUUACCACCUGCGUACCAUCACCACUGAUUCACCACCUACUCUACUGCUGGAGUUCCGCCAACAGCAGCAGUGCAGCACAGCCUCCGCAGUCCAUACCACUUCCACAGUACCGAACCAACACCAUCCGGUCCAUACAUACACACCAUCACCUGCAGCUGUUUGGUUUGAAUUUUAGUUGUGUUUUCUAUAUUGCCUUGAACUCUAGUAACUAAUUCCUGUUUAGUUAGGGUUAUUUCAAAACUAUAUGUGACAUGUCUUUGAUAUUGUUUCCAAGUUGAUCUUUCUUUACAAUAUUGUUUUAUUGUUUAAGGUUCUAUUUUCAUUGUAUGUAAACUUUUCGAGCUUUUUUCUUUGGUUCCUGUUUUUCGAACUUUGUAGGUGUCUUUGUUUUCUUGUUAGAAGUCGAUUUUACUCAAACCCUUAGCGCCUCUUAUACAUGCCGAAUAUGAAGAAAUGAUUUCUACGAUCCCAAACCCAUGCUCCUCUGAUCGGACCGGACCAACCCCCAGGUAAGUCCACUCAAAAUACCUUGAUUCUAUAAAAACUCUCAUAUAAUUGCAGUUCUUUUAUUUUUCAGAAAAUCAUGUCUCAAGCACUGAUCUUGUCUCAAGUAUUGUUCAAUCUUUAAGCUAUAUCUAGUAAUUACAAGUAUCAUCAAGCAUUGUUGUAUUUUUUUAAGUUGUUUCUAGUAACUGAACGUGCCUAUGUGCAACUCUUUAAUUGUCUGAGGUCUGUAAUUUUUCUUUGUAACUGAACGUGUCUAUAUGUAAUUUUCUUUGUAACUGAACGUGUCUACAUAAAA